UACGUAGGGGGCGAGCGUUAUCCGGAUUCAUUGGGCGUAAAGCGCGCGUAGGCGGCCCGGCAGGCCGGGGGUCGAAGCGGGGGGCUCAACCCCCCGAAGCCCCCGGAACCUCCGCGGCUUGGGUCCGGUAGGGGAGGGUGGAACACCCGGUGUAGCGGUGGAAUGCGCAGAUAUCGGGUGGAACACCGGUGGCGAAGGCGGCCCUCUGGGCCGAGACCGACGCUGAGGCGCGAAAGCUGGGGGAGCGAAC
rnacentral:rRNA from 2 species